CCAUCUUCCUCGUACAGUUCACUGCCCUCCGCCAUCGCCGCCCGCCGGCGACGGAACUUUAACCGCCUCCACAAUUACACCAAAUAUUCUCCUCCACCUCCUUAUCUCGAAUCCAUGCUUGGUUUCCUUCGAACCUUAGCAAAAAGCCUCAAAUAUAGCAAACCCUAGGCGCCGCCGCCACCUCCCACGACGGCGCCGCCGCCCAAACUAGUCCAAAGUUAUACAACCAAACCUCCUCCACCGUCUCAUCAACAAUCCAUAAAGAAUCUUCCUUAAAUCAGUAUGGGACGUCUCGAAUCUUCAAUUAAAAAUGGCAGUCAAGUCCCUAGUUCCUCGUUGAUCCCAAAUUAACUAACUAUGUUCGCCUCGCCUCUCUCAUAUGGAAUCUGAUGUCAACAGCAUCCAAAUAUCAUUAGACUCAUUCAAAUUUCAAACCAAAGGGCAGUCAAGUUUUGAGCCAUGCCAGCGAGUUUCAAUUUUCUUCUUUUUUUUCAUUUUGUUU
rnacentral:lncRNA from 1 species